GGGUCUCUGAUGACAAACCAAUGUCAUGAAGAGAAGUGAUAACAUAAUAAUCAUGCUCAAUAGGACUUUGCUGAUGUGC
ensembl:snoRNA SNORD115 Small nucleolar RNA SNORD115